GACGAACGCUGGCGGCGUGCUUAACACAUGCAAGUCGAACGGAAAGGCCCUGCUUUUGUGGGGUGCUCGAGUGGCGAACGGGUGAGUAACACGUGAGUAACCUGCCCUUGACUUUGGGAUAACUUCAGGAAACUGGGGCUAAUACCGGAUAGGAGCUCCUGCUGCAUGGUGGGGGUUGGAAAGUUUCGGCGGUGGGGGAUGGACUCGCGUCUUAUCAGCUGGUUGGUGGGGUAGAGGCUUAGUAAGGCUUCGAUGGGUAGCCGGCGUGAGAGGGUGAUCAGUCACACUGGAACUGAGACACGGUCCAGACUCCUACGGGAGGCAGCAGUGGGGAAUAUUGGACAAUGGGCGAAAGCCUGAUCGAGCGAUGCCGAGUGUGUGAAGAAGGUCUUCGGAUUGUAAAGCACUUUAAGUUGGGAGGAAGGGAAGUAAGUUAAUACCUUGCUGUGUUGACGGUACCAACAGAAUAAGCAACGGCUAACUUCGUG
rnacentral:rRNA from 1 species